rnacentral:rRNA from 1 species
UCAAACCGGGAGAUAGCUGGUUCUCCCCGAAAGCUAUUUAGGUAGCGCCUCGUGAAUUCAUCUCCGGGGGUAGAGCACUGUUUCGGCAAGGGGGUCAUCCCGACUUACCAACCCGAUGCAAACUGCGAAUACCGGAGAAUGUUAUCACGGGAGACACACGGCGGGUGCUAACGUCCGUCGUGAAGAGGGAAACAACCCAGACCGCCAGCUAAGGUCCCAAAGUCAUGGUUAAGUGGGAAACGAUGUGGGAAGGCCCAGACAGCCAGGAUGUUGGCUUAGAAGCAGCCAUCAUUUAAAGAAAGCGUAAUAGCUCACUGGUCGAGUCGGCCUGCGCGGAAGAUGUAACGGGGCUAAACCAUGCAC